ensembl:snoRNA small nucleolar RNA, H/ACA box 84
GCCUUGUGGUUCCUAGAGACGGCUGAUCUGUGGGGUUUAAUUGACGGGCAAAUAUUAACAUCUGCGAUUUAUGCAUGGGAGCUACCACUCCAAGGAACUUCCUUAGCCCGGUUAUUGAGACAUUC